rnacentral:rRNA from 1 species
AGAGACAGCAGCAGCCGCGGGAAUACGUAGGGUGCAAGCGUUAAUCGGAAUUACUGGGCGUAAAGCGUGCGCAGGCGGUUCUAUAAGACAGAUGUGAAAUCCCCGGGCUCAACCUGGGAACUGCAUUUGUGACUGUAGAGCUGGAGUGCGGCAGAGGGGGAUGGAAUUCCGCGUGUAGCAGUGAAAUGCGUAGAUAUGCGGAGGAACACCGAUGGCGAAGGCAAUCCCCUGGGCCUGCACUGACGCUCAUGCACGAAAGCGGGGGGAGCGAACAGGAUUAGAUACCCCGGUAGUCCCUGUCUCUUAUAC